rnacentral:rRNA from 1 species
AAAAACAUGUCUUUUUGAAAAUAAUUUAAAGUCUAAUCUGCCCACUGAUAAAUAUUAAAGGGCUGCAGUAUAUUGACUGUACAAAGGUAGCAUAAUCAAUAGUCUUUUAAUUGAAGACUUGUAUGAAGGAUUUAAUGAAAUAUAAUCUGUCUCUUAUUUAUAAUUAGAAUUUAAUUUUUUAGUUAAAAAGCUAAAAUAGAUUUAAAAGACGAGAAGACCCUAUAGAGUUUUAUAAUUAAUUAAUUUUGGGUUAUAUAUAUAAUUUAAAAUUAAAAAUUAAUUAAUUAUUUUAUUGGGGUGAUAAAAAAAUUAAUUAAACUUUUUUUUAUUAAAGACAUAAAUAAGUGAAUAAAUGAUCCAUUAUUAAUGAUUAAAAGAAAAAAUUACCUUAGGGAUAACAGCGUAAUUUUUUUUUUUAGUUCAAAUAAGAAAAAGAGAUUGCGACCUCGAUGUUGGAUUAAGAUAAAAUAUAAAUGCAAAAGUUUAAAAUUUUGAUCUGUUCGAUCAUUAAAAUCUUAC